AGAGAAACGUGUGGGAGACGUGACUCUGACGUCUGUUUAAACGUGAGAUGCUGGGUCCCCCAUGACAGAGCCGCUGCCAUGGGAUGAAACUACCAACCCCCAGCCUUUUUCUUUGGAGUAAAGCAGUGUGGAGCAGCUGGCCUGUAGGGGGCAGUACACAGCAGGAACCAAGACUGAUGUCAGUGUUGCUUGACUGGUGUGGAGAACUGGAGUCCACCUGCUGGGAUGUGACCAGGCACUUCUGCUCAGCCUGAGUUUGAGGAUGAAAUUUAAAGACAAUGUUUUACUGGAAUGUAAUAUCUGUGAUGGUUGAAUAAAAUUUGAAAAAUCUGCAGCAACUGUUUCAUGGUUUAUUAGGCUUUUUCCCCAGAUUUGCCCACAUUAUCAGUGUAUUCAACAGAUAGUGCAAUAUCUCACAACUACAUGGC